GAUGAACGCUGGCGGCGUGCCUAAUACAUGCAAGUCGAGCGAACAGACGAGGAGCUUGCUCCUCUGACGUUAGCGGCGGACGGGUGAGUAACACGUGGAUAACCUACCUAUAAGACUGGGAUAACUUCGGGAAACCGGAGCUAAUACCGGAUAAUAUAUUGAACCGCAUGGUUCAAUAGUGAAAGACGGUUUUGCUGUCACUUAUAGAUGGAUCCGCGCCGCAUUAGCUAGUUGGUAAGGUAACGGCUUACCAAGGCAACGAUGCGUAGCCGACCUGAGAGGGUGAUCGGCCACACUGGAACUGAGACACGGUCCAGACUCCUACGGGAGGCAGCAGUAGGGAAUCUUCCGCAAAGGGCGAAAGCUUGACGGAGCAACGCCGCGUGAGUGAUGAAGGUCUUCGGAUCGUAAAACUCUGUUAUUAGGGAAGAACAAAUGUGUAAGUAACUAAGCACGUCUUGACGGUACCUAAUCAGAAAGCCACGGCUAACUACGUG
rnacentral:rRNA from 1 species